GAUGAACGCUAGCGACAGGCCUAACACAUGCAAGUCGAGGGGCAGCACGAAGUAAGCUUGCUUACUUUGGUGGCGACCGGCGCACGGGUGCGUAACAGGUGUGCAAUCUGUCCAUAAUCGGGGAAUAGCCCAGCGAAAGUUGGAUUAAUGCUCCAUGUGAGCCGAGGAGGCAUCUCUUUGGUUUGAAACGCAAGGAUUAUGGGUGAGCACGCUUCUGAUUAGGUAGUUGGUGAGGUAACGGCUCACCAAGCCGACGAUCAGUAGGGGUUCUGAGAGGAAGGUCCCCCACAUUGGAACUGAGACACGGUCCAAACUCCUACGGGAGGCAGCAGUGAGGAAUAUUGGUCAAUGGACGGAAGUCUGAACCAGCCAAGUCGCGUGAAGGAUGAAGGUUCUAUGGAUUGUAAACUUCUUUUGUCUGAGGGUAAAACAGCGGACGUGUCCGUUCUUGCAAGUAUCAGACGAAUAAGCAUCGGCUAACUCCGUGCCAGCAGCCGCGGUAAGAC
rnacentral:rRNA from 1 species